rnacentral:rRNA from 1 species
UACGGGGGGGGCAAGCGUUGUUCGGAAUUACUGGGCGUAAAGGGCUCGUAGGUGGCCAACUAAGUCGGACGUGAAAUCCCUCAGCUUAACUGGGGAACUGCGUCCGAUACUGGAUGGCUUGAGUUUGGGAGAGGGAUGCGGAAUUCCAGGUGUAGCGGUGAAAUGCGUAGAUAUCGUGAGGAACACCGGUGGCGAAGGCGGCAUCCUGGACCAACACUGACACUGAGGAGCGAAAGCCAGGGGAGCAAACGGG